GAUCGGCCACAUUGGAACUGAGACACGGUCCAAACUCCUACGGGAGGCAGCAGUGGGGAAUAUUGCACAAUGGGCGAAAGCCUGAUGCAGCAACGCCGCGUGAGUGAUGAAGGCCUUCGGGUCGUAAAACUCUGUCCUCAAGGAAGAUAAUGACGGUACUUGAGGAGGAAGCCCCGGCUAACUACGUGCCAGCAGCCGCGGUAAUACGUAGGGGGCUAGCGUUAUCCGGAUUUACUGGGCG
rnacentral:rRNA from 1 species